rnacentral:rRNA from 1 species
GACGAACGCUGGCGGCGUGCUUAACACAUGCAAGUCGAACGGUGAAGCGCUUGCCUUUUUGGUGGGUGUGGAUGAGUGGCGAACGGGUGAGUAACACGUGAGUAACCUGCCCUCUUCUUCUGGAUAACCUCAUGAAAGUGGGGCUAAUACGGGGUAUUCCGGGUCUGUCGCAUGGCGGGUUUGGGAAAGAUUGCGCCUUUGGGUGUUUUCGGUGGGGGAUGGGCUCGCGGCCUAUCAGCUUGUUGGGGGGGUGAUGGCCUACCAAGGCGGUGACGGGUAGCCGGCCUGAGAGGGUGGACGGCCACACUGGGACUGAGGCACGGCCCAGACUCCUGCGGGAGGCAGCAGUGGGGAAUAUUGCACAAUGGGCGCAAGCCUGAUGCAGCGACGCCGCGUGAGGGAUGGAGGCCUUCGGGUUGUGAACCUCUUUCGCCAGUGAAGCAGGCCUGCUCCUGUGUGGGUGGGUUGACGGUAGCUGGAUAAGAAGCGCCGGCUAACUACGUG